rnacentral:rRNA from 1 species
GUGGGGAAUAUUGGACAAUGGGCGCAAGCCUGAUCCAGCCAUACCGCGUGGGUGAAGAAGGCCUUCGGGUUGUAAAGCCCUUUUGUUGGGAAAGAAAUCCUGUCGGUUAAUACCUGGCGGGGAUGACGGUACCCAAAGAAUAAGCACCGGCUAACUUCGUGCCAGCAGCCGCGGUAAUACGAAGGGUGCAAGCGUUACUCGGAAUUACUGGGCGUAAAGCGUGCGUAGGUGGUGGUUUAAGUCCGUUGUGAAAGCCCUGGGCUCAACCUGGGAAGUGCAGUGGAUACUGGCUAACUAGAGUGUGGUAGAGGGAUGCGGAAUUUCUGGUGUAGCAGUGAAAUGCGUAGAGAUCAGAAGGAACAUCCGUGGCGAAGGCGGCAUCCUGGGCCAACACUGACACUGAGGCACGAAAGCGUGGGGAGCAAACAGGAUUAGAUACCCGAGUAGUCC